rnacentral:rRNA from 2 species
AGGCCUAACACAUGCAAGUCGAGCGCCCAGCAAUGGGAGCGGCAGACGGGUGAGUAACGCGUGGGGAUGUGCCCAAUGGUGCGGAAUAACCCAGGGAAACUUGGAUUAAUACCGCAUGUGCCCUUCGGGGGAAAGAUUUAUCGCCAUUGGAUCAACCCGCGUCUGAUUAGCUAGUUGGUGAGGUAAAGGCUCACCAAGGCGACGAUCAGUAGCUGGUCUGAGAGGAUGAUCAGCCACACUGGGACUGAGACACGGCCCAG